UACGUAGGAUGCAAGCGUUGUCCGGAAUUAUUGGGCGUAAAGAGAACGUAGGUGGUUUUCUAAGUUUGGUCUUAAAGACCGGGGCUUAACUCCGGGAAUGGAUCGAAAACUGGGAGACUAGAGGAUGUCAGAGGAAAGUGGAAUUCCGAGUGUAGCGGUGAAAUGCGUAGAUAUUCGGAGGAACACCAGUGGCGAAAGCGACUUUCUGGGGCAUUCCUGACACUGAGGUUCGAAAGCUCGGGGAGCAAACAGG
rnacentral:rRNA from 1 species